GGAGGGUGCAAGCGUUGUUCGGAAUCACUGGGCGUAAAGGGCGCGUAGGCGGCGUGUUAAGUCAGACGUGAAAUCCCACGGCUCAACUGUGGAAGUGCAUUUGAAACUGGCAUGCUUGAGUACCAGAGGGGAAGGUGGAAUUCCCGGUGUAGAGGUGAAAUUCGUAGAUAUCGGGAGGAAUACCGGUGGCGAAGGCGACUUUCUGGCUGGAUACUGACGCUGAGGCGCGAAAGCGUGGGGAGCAAACAGGAUUAGAUACCCUGGUAGUCCACGCCGUAAACGAUGUGCACUAGAUGUCGGGGGUGUUGAUCCCCUCGGUGUCGGAGCUAACGCAUUAAGUGCACCGCCUGGGGAGUACGGUCGCAAGAUUAAAACUCAAAGGAAUUGACGGGGGCCCGCACAAGCGGUGGAGUAUGUGGUUUAAUUCGAUGCAACGCGAAGAACCUUACCUAGCCUUGACAUCCCGGGGAUUUUCUGGAAACAGGGAAGUGCUUUCAUUAGAGAGAACCCGGUGACAGGUGCUGCAUGGCUGUCGUCAGUUCGUGUCGUGAGAUGUUGGGUUAAGUCCCGCAACGAGCGCAACCCUCGCCUUUAGUUGCCAGCAGUUUGGCUGGGCACUCUAAAGGGACUGCCGGUGUCAAACCGGAGGAAGGUGGGGAUGACGUCAAGUCCUCAUGGCCUUUAUGGCUAGGGCUACACACGUACUACAAUGGCCGGUACAAAGGGCAGCGAGCCUGCGAAGGUGAGCGAAUCCCGUAAAGCCGGUCUCAGUCCGGAUCGGAGUCUGCAACUCGACUCCGUGAAGUUGGAAUCGCUAGUAAUCGUGGAUCAGCAUGCCACGGUGAAUACGUUCCCGGGCCUU
rnacentral:rRNA from 1 species